UUAGCUCAGUUGGUAGAGCAUCUGACUUUUAAUCAGAGGGUCGCAGGUUCGAAUCCUGCAUG
rnacentral:tRNA from 1 species